GAGGAGGAGGCAGUGGAAAGGGCGGCGGCUGCUGGUGGCCGGGCUGUGGAGGGCAUGGAUAACCUUGGUGAAGGAAGAGCAAGGACGACAACUACGAGCGACCAUGGCCACUAAGAGAAGGCAAAAUGGAUACAAACUUUGAGAUUUAUUUGAUCUCGUUUAGCUUCAUACGCCUAAUAAUACACAAAUAAACUUGCAUUUUAAAGCUUUCUUGUUAUAACGAAUUUUGGGUUUUCCUUCUUGUUGAGUGUUACAGGUCAUUUCGUUUUUCGGUAUCUAAUGAAAUCGAUAGAUUGUGGUGGAUUUUUUAUUUUUAUUUUUUGGAAUUGCUUGUGUAUGCUACUCAACUAUCAAUAAAAGUUACGGUUUUG
rnacentral:lncRNA from 1 species